UACGAAGGGGGCUAGCGUUGCUCGGAAUCACUGGGCGUAAAGGGCGCGUAGGCGGCUGUUCAAGUCGGGGGUGAAAGCCUGUGGCUCAACCACAGAAUGGCCUUCGAUACUGGACGGCUCGAGACCGGAAGAGGUCAGUGGAACUGCGAGUGUAGAGGUGAAAUUCGUAGAUAUUCGCAAGAACACCAGUGGCGAAGGCGACUCACUGGACACGUAUUGACGCUGAGGUGCGAAAGCGUGGGGAGCAAACAGG
rnacentral:rRNA from 1 species